GCCGGUGUAGCUUAACGGCAAAGCAGAGCCCUCAUAAAGCUCGGACGGAGGUUCGACUCCUCCCAUCGGCACCG
rnacentral:tRNA from 5 species